CAAUAUAAGGAUUGUAAAGAGAAGUACAAAUAUUUGCCUGUAUCUCUUCAAUAAGGUCGUAGAUUUGUUCCUAGCGAGAGUUUGACAAAAUUUGAGUGGUUUGGCACUUUGAUGCAGUUUAGAAGUUCAGAUGACCUCCAUCAUAAUGUAUUGAAAAAGCAUUGAAUCUUGACGGUCACUUUCAUUUGAUUCAUCCAAGGUGUAUGCGGGUUCAUUUAUUUUCCUUCUAAAGAUGGAGAAAUCAAAACAGGAAUGCUUGAGUCAGCUUUGCAGAAUUGUGCCAGUAAGUCAUCAAAGUCAUCAUCACAGUUGCCUUGUGAUGAAUUUAAGAAUGAACUAAAAAACAGCUUCCUGAAAGCACGGGUGAACUGGAUGGAGGUCGGAUUGUCGCUGUUGCCACCCU